rnacentral:rRNA from 1 species
UACGAAGGGGGCGAGCGUUGUUCGGAUUUACUGGGCGUAAAGGGCGCGCAGGCGGCGAUUUUUGUCAGGCGUGAAAGCCCCGGGCUCAACCUGGGAACUGCGUUUGAUACGGGAUUGCUAGAGAUCGGGAGAGGAGAGUGGAAUUCCCAGUGUAGAGGUGAAAUUCGUAGAUAUUGGGAAGAACACCAGUGGCGAAGGCGGCUCUCUGGACCGAUACUGACGCUGAGGCGCGAAAGCGUGGGUAGCAAACAGG